rnacentral:rRNA from 1 species
AAACCAACAGGGAUUGCCUCAGUAACGGCGAGUGAAGCGGCAAAAGCUCAAAUUUGAAAUCUGGCGUCCCCCCGUGGGUGCCCGAGUUGUAAUUUGAAGAUGGUAAUCCUGGCGCUGGCCCUUGUCUAUGUUCCUUGGAACAGGGCGUCAUAGAGGGUGAGAAUCCCGUCUGAUGGGGUGGUCCAGCUGCCGUGCAGGGUGCUAUCGACGAGUCGAGUUGUUUGGGAAUGCAGCUCUAAGGGGGUGGUAAAUUCCAUCUAAAGCUAAAUAUUGGCGAGAGACCGAUAGCGAACAAGUACAGUGAUGGAAAGAUGAAAAGAACUUUGAAAAGAGAGUGAAAAAGUACGUGAAAUUGUUGAAAGGGAAGGGUAUUCGAUCAGACUUGGCGCGGCGCGAUUAUCGUCUUCCCUCGUGGGGCGUGCACUCGCGGGCGCGCUGGGCCAGCGUCGGUUCGGGCGGCAGGAUAAUGGCGGCGGGAACGUGGCUCUCUUCUCUGGAGGGAGUGUUAUAGCCCGCUGCUGAUGCUGCCUGGCUGGACCGAGGACUGCGGCUCUCUGAGCCUAGGAUGCUGGCGUAAUGAUCCAAUACCGC